UGAGGAAUAUUGCACAAUGGGCGCAAGCCUGAUGCAGCAACGCCGCGUGAGGGACGAAGGCCUUCGGGUCGUAAACCUCUUUUCUGGGGGACAAGUAAGGACGGUACCCCAGGAAUAAGUCUCGGCUAACUACGUGCCAGCAGCCGCGGUAAAACGUAGGAGGCGAGCGUUAUCCGGAUUUACUGGGCGUAAAGCGUACGCAGGUGGCUUCGUUAGUCGGACAUGAAAGCUCCUGGCUUAACUGGGAGAGGUUGUUCGAUACUGCGGGGCUUGAGGUUGGGAGAGGGACGUGGAAUUCCCGGUGUAGUGGUGGAAUGCGUAGAUAUCGGGAGGAACACCAGUGGCGCAAGCGGCGUCUUGGCCCACACCUGACGCUGAGGUACGAAAGCGUGGGUAGCAAACAG
rnacentral:rRNA from 1 species